UCUUUUUGGGUCUCGUUGUAGCCCAAACCGGUUUCCGAUUCUUUUCCUCAAGUGGAAAGUUCGCGAGGUCUUCCACGAGAAUUUCGAGAAGUUUCGAAAGACCAUUGAGCAGCUACUGUGUUGAAUUGGUCUUUUUGAGAGAAGAAAAGAAAAAGAAAGUAGUAGAAUGCAAGGCGUGUGGAGAAGAAAGAGAAACACACACACACACUUACUUUUUGUGGUCCAAAGCGAAAGACCAGCUGUUUUUUUGCACACGUGCCGCAAGCACAUUUCUUGGUGGCAGUUUCGUAAUUGUUUACCCUUUCGAGACGAUUUUAAUUAGUUAUUUCCCUCCCUCUUGAAACGUUGCCGUUUCAGCUCCUUAAU